rnacentral:misc_RNA from 1 species
UUAACUUAUUCGGUUGUUACUCGGACGUACGGAUACAGGGUUGGUGUGGUCCACCGGGGGCCCCGACGCCCGUGAGGGCCGGGUCGCCCCCGAGGCAACGGAGUCGGAUAUCAAAGGGUUGGAGGUCGGGCCCAGAGGACCCUCGCUCGGUAAUGAUCCCUCCGCAGGUUCACCUACGGAGA